rnacentral:lncRNA from 1 species
AACGCUGCUCAUCUCCCUGUUGAAAACUUCCAUUUCUGAAAGUACAUGCGUUGCUCAUAAAAUAGUCUGGUCAGUUUUUUUGGUGACAAGUCCAGCAGAUUGCGACUGUCGUUUUGUUUUUGCAAGGCCCUGAUUUAAUUACUCCUAUAUUUGCAUUCCCUGAUAUUUAUAGUUUACUAGCUUUACAAAGUCAGAAUUGCCUAGCUUUCCUUGGUUAUGCAUGAUUGUAUAAGAUUUACUGUACCCAAAUUCAUAUCCCUCCAAAUUUUGUGUGAACCAUACUAAAUUUGCUCUGACCCUAUCAGCUACAUGUAUAUUGAUUCAAUUCAUAGAGUGCCAUUUAAUUAGGACGGUUAUUGGCAUCGAGCUAGGAAGCCCUUAGUUUGAACAGUGUGAUAGUUGACCACUUGAUGCCUCUCCAAUAACUUCAUAGUUCAAUCUCAUUUUUACGGACUGUAUUGCAUUAUUGUAUCCUGUUACAGGGAGAUGGAACUGAAAGAUAUUUUAUACCUCUUCAGUGAAUGCAAAAAGUAAUUAUCCUGGGAAACUACAUGUGGCAUUUUUACUACUUCGACCUGUACUUCCUCUCUGUUGUAUAUUGUUGAAGAUUUUUACCCUACACAAAGCAAUUAUUGAUUCUUUUCCAUGCACAUAUAUGUACUCUGUCUGAUUGAAACAAAGCAAUUAUUGAUUCUUUUCCAUGCACAUAUAUGUACCUGUACAAAGUAAUU